UACGGAGGGGGCAAGCGUUGUUCGGAAUUACUGGGCGUAAAGGGCGCGCAGGCGGUCUGCUAAGUUUGGAGUGACAGUUGGUGGCUCAACCACCAAAGUGCUUUGAAAACUGACAGACUUGAGGGCUUCAGAGGGACACGGAAUUCCGGGUGGAGUGGUGAAAUGCGUAGAGAUCCGGAGGAACACCAGAGGCGAAGGCGGCCUGCUGGGCUGCACCUGACGCUGAGCCGCGAAAGCCAGGGGAGCGAACGGG
rnacentral:rRNA from 1 species